CACUGGGACUGAGACACGGCCCAGACUCCUUCGGGAGGCUGCUGUAGGGAAUCUUCCGCAUUGGACGAAAGUCUGACGGAGCAACGCCGCGUGAUUGAAGAAGGUUUUCGGAUCGUAAAGUACUGUUGUUAGAGAAGAACAAGGAUUAGAGUUUCUGCUUGUCCCUUGACGGUAUCUAACCAGUAAGCCACGGCUUACUACGUGCCAGCAGCCGCGGUAUUUCGUAGG
rnacentral:rRNA from 1 species